rnacentral:hammerhead_ribozyme from 1 species
GCAUUGCCGAGGAGUCCCAAAAUAGGACGAAACGGCUGUCCAGUGU